rnacentral:rRNA from 1 species
UACGGAGGGUGCAAGCGUUGCUCGGAAUUAUUGGGCGUAAAGGGUAGGUAGGUGGUCUCAUUUGUCUGGGGUGAAAGCCUUGAGCUUAACUCAAGAAGUGCCUCAGAAACGGUGAGACUAGAGUCCUGGAGAGGGUCGUGGAAUUCCCGGUGUAGCGGUGAAAUGCGUAGAUAUCAGGAGGAACACCGGUGGCGAAGGCGGGUCUCUGGGCCGAUACUGACGCUGAGGAGCGAAAGCGUGGGGAGCGAACAGG